rnacentral:misc_RNA from 1 species
GGAAGUAAAAGUCGUAACAAGAUUUCCGUAGGUGAACCUGCGGAAGGAUCAUUAAAGAGUAAUGGGUACUUCGGUGCCCGAACUCCCACCCUUUGUUGUCGCGAAUUUGUUGCCUCGGCGGGUUGUCUUGACCGACGACGGGCCCCCGGCCCACCCGCCGCAGGACACUCACAACUCUGCUUUAACCGUAAAGUCUGAGCGAAAUUCUAAAUGAAUCAAAACUUUCAACGACGGAUCUCUUGGUUCUG